AACCGGCCAAUUCUCACGCACUCGCCGCCUAGGAGCGUUCACGUUGACUGCGGGCGACGGCUCGCUUCCUCUCCUCCACCGCACCUCCAAGAAUCCACCCCUGCCUCACUCGCAUGGUUCACUGUCCGAUGUCUCGCGUCCACACCUGUCGGCUGCCACAGAUCUAGCCCUGCCUACAGUGCUAGCACCACCAUGCGUCCCGUUCACCUCGUCGUCCGCCCCUGGCCCUUGCCUCACCGACUUGUGGCCGCCGCGGCUCCAUGUGGGACACGGCCAUGCCUGACGCCUCCACCGCCAUGAUUGAGCUAACGACUCCACUCCAUGGGAUGGUCCACGGUGGGCCAUGGCAGCUCGCCGGCUCCAACCUCCCCCUCUAGCCUACAGUGCUCCACCGUCCGGUCGCUAGUGCUCCUCCAUGGACCACGGCUGACGGUUGCACGCACCGGUAUGCAUCCUUGCUGCUCUAUUCCCGACGUUCUGGCUCAUGUACCUGUUGUGCAGCCUAUCGCCUAGCCAUGCUCUGGUGUGAAGGACAUCCGCUUCUGCCCCUGCACAUCCCGCCCUUAGUCGCGCACCUCAGCCUGUUCCUUGGACCGACGGCUAUUGUCUUGAGGCGUAUGGUGGCCGCCCACCUCGUACCCAGUCACCAGAUCUCAAGUUACACCUCGAAAUCCAGAUCAAGUGCAUGUCAUGUUUUAUCCUUGGUUCAAUCAGUUCUUACUAGAUUUUGUUGGCAGGGCUUCAAGCUCUUGUUUAUUGUUUCAUUGAUGGCCAUGCCCAAAAUCAAGCGAUCACAUGCUGCAAGGGUUGUGGGAGCAAUAGGUGAAAAGAAUAAAGUCAUAUAUGAGGAUGUCUUGUACUAUUGUUUUCACAUACGAGAUCUUUCUACCAAUUAGUUUUUUUUGUCUACCUCAUGUAUAUAUAGGAUUUUGUUAUUCUAGGCUCUAAAAUAGUGCAUUCUGGUGUAAUGCAGAUGUUACACUGAUAUUCUAACUGUAUAUUGAGCUAGGUUCCUACGUAGUUGUGUCAUUCAAAGAGCAAUUCUUGUUAGUUCUUUCAUGUAUCAGAUUGUUCUAAGUUAUAACUACCUGAAAUCUUUAUCAUUUUAAGAAAAGUAAAGUCUUACUGCUCCUUUUGCUUUGUUGUAUCAGACAUGUCUCUAAAUCUUCGGUGACUUUAUUUUGCUACUUAUCCUUAGUGAUUGUUCACUCCAUCGCUCUGCCUGUUAUAGUACUAUGCCUUAUUCUCCAUAUAAUUGUGUAGUUGUUUUUUUCUCAAAUUGAUAUGAAUUGUAUAUUCAGGCUACAUACUACAUGAUCGAUAUAUGGUUGAAAAUUAAUGUUUAGUUUAUUUUUCUAUAUUGUGGAACAUGUGUAAUGAGCAACUUAUUUUCAGUGUAUGGUUAGAAACAAAAAGGUCUGAUUGUCGUUGAUCACUGGAUCUAUAGGCAGGUCAAUACUGUCGUCAAUUUGUACCUAAUUUCUUGUCAUUCAUUUCAUAAAAACAGGUAGUUUUGAUGUAUUUGGUCAUAACUAACAAUUAUCUGUCCUUCUGAACUAAACCGGUAUCACAGGGUCAAAUGUACAGAACUGUUAAUAUAAUAGCAUUCUCUUAUUUAGUGUAUGUGAUGUGGACACAAGUGACAGAUGUGAUGUUUGUAAAGUUGCUAGAUAAAGUCCAAGGAUCCCUUCAAUCUUCUGAAGAUAGGGGGAUGGCAAUAAUUUCAUAAUUCACUGCUAAGCAUCAGAAGAAAGCUUUGCAGGCGCAGCUAGCUGAAGUUUCUACAGAAAGGGCAAAGGCAUCUAAAAUCAUAUAGUCUCUAUUGAAACGAUACAAUCUCUAUAGGUAACUCCAGCGUUUAGCAUCAUAGUAUUAUCAUAAAACCAUAAUUUCCAGGUAGUAUUUAGUUGUGCUAGUCUAUUAGGUGAAUGCUUUUAAUCAUUAUUCCAUUUUCUGUUGUGCUUUACUCAGGAAAAUAGUGACUCAUGAGUAGCUGAACAAGAUUGAUCUCAGUAUGCCGAAAAAAUUGUGAAUUAGAGUAAUCAAUUAUAUUAUCUUCAUUAUUUGCAUAUAAUUAUACUUUUGCAGGUGGUAUUAAUGGAGAAAGAUCAAAAAUAGCUGAAAUUGAAGCAGCAUCAACAGGUAAAGCUGCCUGGCUUAGAGCUGUUCCGGAGGAGAUGAAAGGGGAACUUGCUCAUCUAAAGGGUGAACAUGUAUGUUUCUAAAUUCUAUACUGAAAUAUGCCAUUGCUGUACAAAGUUGAGCAUCAUAGGUAAUAGAUGUCAGAUUUGAACUAGUGGAUAUAUUCUAUUUGGUAUUGUCAUAAAUAACUUAUGAUGCUUCAUUGAUCUACUAUUGUCAUGUUGACAUUUGUGUGCACUAUAUGUCUACAAUUCCCUCGACAAGUAAGUAAUAUUACUGUGUGAUACAUGCAGUGAAGUUUUUGGGCUCCGAUGUAUGUUUAUGACACUACCUUCCAAUUAUGUUGUCUGAUGCAAGCUCGAACUCACUCUAUUUAGCACUGAUGUGGGGUGUUCAACCUUUUGCUAGAUGGUCUCUAUACUCUGUCCUUGGCUCAUCUUCAUAUCCAUAUAUGUUGCCACGAGAGCCAUUUAUGAUCUGCAUUCGGCAGCACUAGGUUUUUUUAAAUGUCCCUGCUAUCUUCUAUUAGUUUACUUCAUUGUGCUGAGUUGCUGAUUCACAUGUCGCUGAAUAAUUCAUAUAAAUCCUCUAGGUGUUCUUUUCGUUGUGUUGAUAACUGUGGUCUUUACUGAUUUAAUAAAGACUGCAGUAGGGAGACCAAGGCCAGACUUCUGGCGAUGCUUUCUGAAAGGGAAAUAGGCUUACACCUUUUCCUAAUUGAUUUUGGUGGUUGAAUUGUCCAACACAAAUAAUUAGACUAACUAGUUUGCUCUAGAUUAUAAGUUUUACAGGUGCCAAAGGUUCACAAUUGACCAAUAAAAUGACCAAGAAAGGGUUCAACUAAAGAGAGCAAAAGACAACCGAAGGCUGCCUUGGUCUGGCGCACCGGACUGUCCGGUGUGCCACCGGACAGUGUCCGGUGUACCAGGGAACUCAGCUCCAAACUCGUCACCUUCAGGAAAAUCAGAGGCGCUCCGCUAUAAUUCACCGGACUGUCCGGUGUGCCAGCGGAGCAACGGCUACUUCAGCGCCAACGGUCGACUGCAACCGCAUUCAAUGCACUACAGUGCGCGCCAGAGUCAGAGCAGCGUCAGAAGGCGCACCGGACAGUCUACAGUACUUGUCCGGUGCACCACCGGACAGCCAGAAGACCCCACCUGUCAGAGCUCCAACGGUGAACCCUAACGGCCGGGUGACGUGGCUGGCGCACCGGACUGUCCGGUGCGCCAUGCGACAGCAGCCUCCACCAAACGACUAGUUUGGUGGUUGGGGCUAUAAAUACCCCAACCACCCCACCAUUCAUUGCAUCCAAGUUUUCAGACUUCUACACCUUACAAGAGCUACAACAUUCAAUUCUAGACACAACCAAAGAGAUCAAAUUCUCUCCCAAGUCCGGAAUCACUACAAAUCAAAUAGUGACUAGAGAGAGUGACAUUUGUGUUCAUUUGAGCUCUUGCGCUUGGAUUGCUUCUUUUCUUUCUCAUUCUUUCUUGUGAUCAACUCAAUUGUAACCAAGGCAAGAGACACCAAUUGUGUGGUGGUCCUUGCGGGGACUUAGUGUCCCGUGUGAUUGAGAAGAGAAGCUCACUCGGUCUAAGUGACCGUUUGAGAGAGGGAAAGGGUUGAAAGAGACCCGGUCUUUGUGACCACCUCAACGGGGAGUAGGUUUGCAAGAACCGAACCUCGGU